UACGGAGGAUGCAAGCGUUAUCCGGAUUCAUUGGGUUUAAAGGGUGCGCAGGCGGAUUGGUAAGUCAGUGGUGAAAUUCAACGGCUCAACUGUUGAUCUGCCAUUGAUACUGUCAGUCUAGAGUAUAGUUGGAGUGGGCGGAAUGUGUCAUGUAGCGGUGAAAUGCUUAGAUAUGACACAGAACACCGAUCGCGAAGGCAGCUCACUAAGCUAAAACUGACGCUCAUGCACGAAAGCGUGGGGAUCAAACAGGAUUAGAUACCUUGGUAGUCCACGCUGUAAACGAUGAUUACUCGAUGUUGGCGAUACACAGUCAGCGUCUGAACGAAAGUAUUAAGUAAUCCACCUGGGGAGUACGUUCGCAAGGAUGAA
rnacentral:rRNA from 1 species